UACAGAGGUCUCAAGCGUUGUUCGGAUUCAUUGGGCGUAAAGGGUGCGUAGGCGGCGCGGUAAGUCGGGUGUGAAAUCUCGGAGCUUAACUCCGAAACUGCAUUCGAUACUGCCGUGCUUGAGGACUGGAGAGGAGACUGGAAUUUACGGUGUAGCGGUGAAAUGCGUAGAUAUCGUAAGGAAGACCAGUGGCGAAGGCGGGUCUCUGGACCUUACCUGACGCUGAGGAGCGAAAGCGUGGGGAGCGAACAGG
rnacentral:rRNA from 1 species